ACCGAGUUAGAGAAUAAACUCUCUGAUAUCCAAAAAUAUUUGUUUCCCUUGUUGCAAACUUUUUAUCAACAGAAGAAGCAACAUGUGCAGUUUCGUUCAUGUCCUGAAACAUUACAUGCAUGAAUCUUUCCCCUUGUGCAGUGUUGUGGUUGGAGCAACUCUGGUAUAGAUAGGUAGUGUUGGAAAUGAGAUGUGCCGGAGUAGUUAUAAAAGUGAGGAAGCUAACAAGGAAUAAGAGAAAGAAAAUGCAGAAGCCAUUGAUGGUAAGUGCAGUGACUCUUUUUUCUGCUUUAUGCUAGAAGCACUCAAUCCUCUUGCAGGAACUUUACUUUACGAACUAGAAGGAUUGGAAUAAAUGUGGUGCCAGCUCUAGAGAACAAUUGAGGAGAGACUAAAGG
rnacentral:lncRNA from 1 species